rnacentral:tRNA from 1 species
GGGCACUUGGCUCAGUUGGUAGCGCGCUCGCUUCGCAUUAGUGGUUUGCGAGAGGUCAGGAGUUCGACUCUCCUAGUGUCCA